AACGAACGCUGGCGGCAUGCCUAACACAUGCAAGUCGAACGAGACCUUCGGGUCUAGUGGCGCACGGGUGCGUAACGCGUGGAACCUGCCCUUAGGUUCGGAAUAACUCCCCGAAAGGGGUUCUAAUACCGGAUAAUGUCUUCGGACCAAAGAUUUAUCGCCUUUGGAUUGGCCCGCGUUGGAUUAGCUAGUUGGUAGGGUAAAAGCCUACCAAGGCGACGAUCCAUAGCUGGUCUGAGAGGAUGAUCAGCCACACUGGGACUGAGACACGGCCCAGACUCCUACGGGAGGCAGCAGUGGGGAAUAUUGGACAAUGGGCGAAAGCCUGAUCCAGCAAUGCCGCGUGAGUGAUGAAGGCCUUAGGGUUGUAAAGCUCUUUUACCCGGGAUGAUAAUGACAGUACCGGGAGAAUAAGCUCCGACUAACUCCGUG
rnacentral:rRNA from 1 species